rnacentral:rRNA from 1 species
UGGCUUUAAUUGCACCACAUGUGUUUUUCUUUGAAACAAACUUGCUUUGGCGGUGGGCCCAGCCUGCCGCCAGAGGUCUAAACUUACAACCAAUUUUUUAUCAACUUGUCACACCAGAUUAUUACUUAAUAGUCAAAACUUUCAACAACGGAUCUCUUGGUUCUCGCAUCGAUGAAGAACGCAGCGAAAUGCGAUACGUAAUAUGAAUUGCAGAUAUUCGUGAAUCAUCGAAUCUUUGAACGCACAUUGCGCCCUCUGGUAUUCCGGAGGGCAUGCCUGUUUGAGCGUCGUUUCUCCCUCAAACCGCUGGGUUUGGUGUUGAGCAAUACGACUUGGGUUUGCUUGAAAGACGGUAGUGGUAAGGCGGGAUCGCUUUGACAAUGGCUUAGGUCUAACCAAAAACAUUGCUUGCGGCGGUAACGUCUACCACGUAUAUCUUCAAACUUUGACCUCAAAUCAGGUAGGACUACCCGCUGAACUUAAGCAUAUCAAUAAGGCGGAGGAA